rfam:Flavobacterium succinicans strain DD5b FLB_contig000053, whole genome shotgun sequence.
CUUUAGCCCCGAUAGUAGUGGAAAUCCUUUGUGGGCUGGGGUUCAGCCCGCAAAGAUUGAAACGGAUAGCGGGACCAUUG